rnacentral:lncRNA from 1 species
CUUUUUCAGAUAACUAUUACUGUGGCUGAAGGAUAUAAUUGUGUGAUUAAUUCUCCAUACUCCUUAGAGAUGUUGUGAAGGUUCUUAACAUGUUGACAGCUGGGGACUCUCUCUUCACAAGACAUCAGAUUUAACAUCCCCAUUCUGACACUGGACAUGGCUUCCAAUUUGUACUACCAAACAGAUGCCUUACUUUUGCAAGGAUUUUACUGCCAGUCUGAAGAAGACCAAGAGUGACCAUAUUUCCCUUAAGGGUCUUUCUAACUCUACUGAACAGUUUCCAAUAUGAACGGUUCAUAUAAAUCUUGCAUAAACAAGAGAAAGAAUGUAGUUGAUAAAUUCUAAAAAUAAUUAAAUGUAAAGAUUCUCCAUUUUCAACAAGAGUGGAAGUUUUAAUUAAGGUUAAUGUAUUGUGUUUUGAAUUUUCACUCAACUUUCUUUUUCUCUCUACCAUUAAAUGCUAUCGAUUUUUAUUAUUGUGGCUCAACAGAUAAAAUGUUUCUUAAGUUUAAAUAUUUACAUUGGUUAAGAAUGGAGAAUCUAAAAAUAACAAAAAUAUUGUAAAUAAUUUAAGUAUGGCAAUGGUUUUACAUGGAAAUCAAAAAUAUUAUUGUCAAAAUUGGUGUAAUGAUACAUUCAAGAGAUUACAUGUAGCAAUAUGUAAGUUAUCCUUAUUUACUACCAGUCAGACAUUUCUUGACUAAAUAUCAAGCCUAUUGCUACAGGUACUCGACUCUCAUUGUAAUUGAUCAUAAGUUUAACAUUUUCAAGGGGAGGUAAUGCACCUGUUUAAUGCCUCAUACUAGAAGUUUCUUUAGUGCACAGUUUACCAAUAUAACUAAGACAUUCUCUUCUGUGAUUUGAGCAGUACCAGAGUACUGGAACUGUUUUACAAAGCAACGGCCAUUAAACUUUUCAUGCAUUGAGUUAUGCUAAGCAUCUUUGGCCGAAUUUUUGACAAAUCCAAAAAACAGGAGAAUAUUGAUGAAACACCUUACUUUCAGGGAAUGUAAAAUAAUAUAGUUUCUGUAAAACAAUAAUUUGUGUACUAUAUGUACUUAAAGCUAGGUUCACACUGCCGAUCAGAUCAACUCGAUCAAGCCCGAUCAAGACAAAUUACGUGAUCGAGGAGACUGGUCUGACUCCAUCGACAAGAAUGUUCGGGAUAGUCUACCCUACUCGUCAUUGAUCUGACCAUCUACCCGAGAGUUUUUGACAUGUCAAAAACACUCAAGUAAGGACCGAGAAGCAAGUCCCUCGAGAAGAGAUCGAGAAUUCGUCGAGUAGUGGUCGAAUUGAAAGGAUCGUGUAGAGAUAGAGAUUGGUCGGAAUACAACAAGAUUUCUGAUCAGUACUCGAUUAGUCAAGCAAAGGUCGAAAUGAUCGAGUACUGAUCGGAAAUUUUGUUGUAUUCCGACCAAUCUCGAUCUCUACACAAUCCUUUCCCAAUCAAUUCGACCGCUACUCGACGAAUUCUCGAUCUCUUCUCGAGUGACUUGCUUCUCGGUCCUUACUCGAUUGUUUUUGACAUGUCAAAAACUCUCGGGUAGAUGGUCAGAUCGAUGAUGAGUAGGGUAGACUAUCCCGAACAUCCUUGUCGAUGGAGUCAGACCAGUCUCCUGAUCACGUAAUUUGUCUUGAUCGGGCUUGAUUGAGUUGAUCUGGUAGGCAGUGUGAACCUAGCUAAAUGUAAUGUAAAAUUUUGUAUAUUAUUGAAUUACAAACCACCUUAACUUAUUAUUGUCCAUAUUUUGAGUUAGAGCCGAUAGACUUUUCUAUAAUUUUGAUAUAAUUUGUCCCAUAAGUAGUGCACUACACCUUAAAAAAUAUCAAAACAAGUGUAAUUUUUUUUUUAUUUGUGUUUAUUGUCUAAAAGAAAUGCACUUUGAAAUAACUGUUGGGCCUAAGAGAUGAGUUCAGUAAAUGUAGAUUCUACAAUUUCCCUGAUUAAGAGCUAUGUACAUAAAAGUUGAAUUGGUUGAAUUCCAUUUUAAAGAGUUCACUUAGUCUGUAAAAUAUGCACUUUUAUAUGUAAAUAUGUGUUACGGCCUAAAUUGACCCCAACUUAUUUUUAGUCUUUCAUGCCCUAGGACCAUGUUAUAACUGUGUGGUGUGCUAUUUGUAACUUUUCAUUCCAGUUAAAGCGCAUUAAAUAUUUAAGAAAGAAUUAUUUAUGGCAAAAUUGCUUCACAAAUUUUAAUUCGGUUGAAGAAAAUCACAAUUUUUUAUAAGCAACCCACCCCCCAUCCCCAAUUUUCAUAAGUAAUUUAGUUGCUGUUUUCCAGAUUCCCUACAACAUUAUAUAUUUCACUUUCUAUUCUUUGACUAAUAUUAUAUCAUAACACAUUAUUGUCAUAUUCUCUGACUCUCCUCCCUUUCUUGAAGACAAAACUGAACAGAGUAUUUGAUUGCUAUAUUGUUGACCAUCAGAACUUCUCUUUUUAUUAUCCUUGCAAAAAUACGAUGCUUUUCAAUUAAAGAUGACGUAAAUUUGCACUUUUAUUGACAAUUAUCCAGUGACUGGAAUUCCCGUGAACUAAUUUUAGCAAAUGCAAACACUGAUUUAUGAUUUUUUGCAUCUUGUUUACAUGUUUGUACUAGAAUUAUAGUAUGCAGCUUAGAUAUAUCUGUAAACUUUUUAAUUGAGAACAAUUUUCACAAAACAAAAGCGAAUUGUUUUACACCAUGUACACUUUUUAUUUGCUCAUUGUUAAAGGCUGAACAUUGACCUAUAGUUGUUAAUUUCUGUGUCAUUUGGUCUCUUGUGGAGUGAUGUCUCAAAAUCAUAGAUCAUCAUAGCACAUCGUCUUUUAUUAUAUAUUAAGUGAAAAUACUUCUGGAUCUUGAAGGUGCCUAAGCAUAAAUUCCACUAAAAAAUAUCCACAAAAAGAUAAGAUUGAUCUUUUAAAAGCAUAAUUAUGCCAUGUGAAUAAAUUUAUCAGUUUUCAAGAGUAAACUUGACAACAUGUCAUCCUUAUGUUAAAAGCAAGUAAUUUAAAAUGAUUGGUGCCACAUAUUUUUAAAUCCAAGAUAAUAGGUAGAAGUAAAUUUAUUUUCUGCUGCCCUGUAAAUUAGAAAUAGCGAGAACACUGGAGGAACUCUCGAUGAUGAGCAAAAUUAUUCUGUGUUCCAUAGUGUUUUGCAGUUUUAUUUACACCCAAAAGUGUUAAAAAUUCAGAAUUUGACAGAUAUUUCAAGAAAUCUUUUAUAGUGAAAAUGCAGAACCCAAAAAGGCUAUCAUUGUUGCCUAUGUAAAUAAUUACUUCAUUUAAACCUAAAGCGAAAUAACAAUUUCUGGCACAUCACUAUAUUUUUCGAGAUCAUUAGAAUUAGGAUAGGUAAAUUAAUAAGCUACUAGGUAGUAAACUGUAUCAGAAGAAAAUUGCUGAUCAUCAUGAACAAAUACCGGUAGUCUAUAUCAAAUUUUUACUGUUUUUUUAUUCUUAUGUUCAAGGGGUAGGAAUCACUGUAAGAACCAGUAUUCUGUCAAGGACCUUGUCUUUAGGCAUUUCUCUUUGCAUGUAUUAAGGCAUAUAUAAAAAAGGGGGCAUAGUAUUGCUAAUUUAGUGACAUUUGUGUAUUUCUUAUUGCAUUAUGUU